rnacentral:misc_RNA from 1 species
GAAAAAUAUAAAUUGUUAAAAAAUAUUUAUAAAUUUUUUGGUUAGCACAAAAACUCACAUGUUAAACACCAUUUAUUAUCGUGUGCAACACAAGUAAAUGAUGACUUGUUAAUUAAAGUUUAGUACAAGGUGGAAGUGCGUGUGGAGAUAGUUAGAGCCAUUUAAUGAAGCCUUUGUUAUCAGUUAACAUUUUCAGCACAAAGGAGAAGUAGGUUUGUGCUUGUCCAAACUUCAAGUCUAGAAAACUUUUGCACGAGGGAGUGUGUUAGAGAUAGUUAGAGAUGUUA